rnacentral:rRNA from 1 species
AUACGGAGGAUCCGAGCGUUAUCCGGAUUUAUUGGGUUUAAAGGGUGCGUAGGUGGUUUGAUAAGUCAGCGGUGAAAGUUUGCAGCUUAACUGUAAAAAUGCCGUUGAAACUGUCGGACUUGAGUGUAAAUGAGGUAGGCGGAAUGCGUGGUGUAGCGGUGAAAUGCAUAGAUAUCACGCAGAACCCCGAUCGCGAAGGCAGCCUGCCAGGCCGUGACUGACACUGAUGCACGAAAGCGUGGGUAUC